UGUGUUAUCACCAUUUUAACACAAUUUGUGUUAUUUUGUGUUGUUAAUGUGUUAUAUUACUGGAUAUACUGCCCAACACAAAAUGUGUUAAAUUAUUGGCCAAUCCCUGGUGUCCUGGAUGAGCCGUUACCCUGAGACCAGAGGUUACUUAUUUUCUCAGCACUUGAUCUUGGCGCGCACUUGGAAGAAGUUGCACACACAGUGGAUGCAGACGUCUGUAUAAAAGCUACAAGGAGACAUGGAGGUGCCGAAAUUGCUUGUCAGCAUAUUUCUUGAUGGCAAGGAAAUAACCAAAAAGAUAUUUCAGCUGGAGUAUGUUUCAGAGAUAGUAGAUGCCUGCAAAUCCCAUUCAACAGUACUCAACAGUGAACUUGACCGAAUUCUCAGAUACUCCUCCGAUUUUAAUGAAUUCAUUGACGUUGAGCAUCAUGACCAUGUUCAACACAUGGACAAAUUCCAGGUGUUUUUGAAGACCAGUGGAGCGUCAGUGUUGAAUGAACAAUCGGAUGCAGUUGAAACUGUCACAACAAAUCAAAUCAGCCGGCAGGAUCCCAUUGAUGUAGAAACUUUGAGAGCAGUGUGUGAGAGGAAAGGUGCCAGUGUUCUGGCGGACUAUGAGGCCUCUGGGACACUCUCAGAGGCCUCAAGAAAACUCUUUGUAAAAAUCGCUGUCAGUGAACUGAUUGAAAAGAAGGGAUUUUAUCCACGAAGUGAAGACAAAUCCAAGAUGGCCAGAUCUAUGGUAACACUUUUCCCGUCACUCAAAAUCAAGAUGGGAGAGGAGAAUGAGGGAUUUGAACAUUUCUAUGACCCCAUAUCCCACAGCGGAUUCCUUGAG